ACGGGAGGCAGCAGUGGGGAAUAUUGCACAAUGGGGGAAACCCUGAUGCAGCGACGCCGCGUGAGUGAAGAAGUAUUUCGGUAUGUAAAGCUCUAUCAGCAGGGAAGAAAAUGACGGUACCUGACUAAGAAGCCCCGGCUAACUACGUGCCAGCAGCCGCGGUAAUACGUAGGGGGCAAGCGUUAUCCGGAUUUACUGGGUGUAAAGGGUGCGUAGGCGGCACGACAAGUCAGAAGUGAAAUCCCAGGGCUCAACCCUGGAACUGCUUUUGAAACUGUCGAGCUAGAGUGCAGGAGAGGUAAGCGGAAUUCCUAGUGUAGCGGUGAAAUGCGUAGAUAUUAGGAGGAACACCAGUGGCGAAGGCGGCUUACUGGACUGACACUGACGCUGAGGCACGAAAGCGUGGGGAGCAAACAGGAUUAGAUACCCUGGUA
rnacentral:rRNA from 1 species